rnacentral:lncRNA from 1 species
CUGAGCUGUCCUACGAAGAUCACGCCUCACCGAGUUUACUUGCACCAUGUUGAAGAUCACUUGUAAGCCUUUCCUCUGUAACCUGCAUAAUUGUUUAAUAAAUCGCUUUCUCCGGGAAUUAAAACAUGUACCUGCUGUUGUAGAAGCAUUAAUAAAGCCUUAGUCAAACCAUUGGACCAAGGGGCUUCCACAUAACUCGAAUAUUAUAUUGAUAUUUAUCGUGC